UACAGCGGUGAUAGCACGUUGAAUUCACCAGUUCCCGUCUCAUAAAUCACUGAAGUUAAGCAACGUUGUACGUGGUAGGUAACCAAUUGAGUGACCAUCUGGACAAUCGAGUGACCAGUCC
rfam:Asian citrus Psyllid, Diaphorina citri - Florida Strain, whole genome shotgun sequence.